UACGUAGGGUGCGAGCGUUGCCCGGAUUUAUUGGGCGUAAAGAGCGUGUAGGCGGCCAGGUAGGUCCGUUGUGAAAACUGGAGGCUUAACCUCCAGCUGUCGAUGGAAACCAUCUGGCUAGAGUCCGGAAGAGGAGAGUGGAAUUCCUGGUGUAGCGGUGAAAUGCGCAGAUAUCGUAAGGAAGACCAGUGGCGAAGGCGGGUCUCUGGACAGUUCCUGACGCUGAGGCACGAAGGCCAGGGGAGCAAACGGG
rnacentral:rRNA from 1 species